rnacentral:rRNA from 1 species
UACGAAGGGGGCUAGCGUUGCUCGGAAUCACUGGGCGUAAAGCGCACGUAGGCGGCUUUUUAAGUCAGGGGUGAAAUCCUGGAGCUCAACUCCAGAACUGCCUUUGAUACUGAGAAGCUUGAGUCCGGGAGAGGUGAGUGGAACUGCGAGUGUAGCGGUGAAAUGCGUAGAUAUCGGAAGGAACACCAGUGGCGAAAGCGGCUUCCUGGUCCAGCACCGACGUUCAGGCACGAAAGCGUGGGGAGCAAACAGG